rnacentral:rRNA from 1 species
CAGCAGCCGCGGGAAUACAGAGGGUGCGAGCGUUAAUCGGAUUUACUGGGCGUAAAGCGUGCGUAGGCGGCUAAUUGAGUCGGAUGUGAAAUCCCCGAGCUUAACUUGGGAAUUGCAUUCGAUACUGGUUAGCUAGAGUGUGGGAGAGGAUGGUAGAAUUCCAGGUGUAGCGGUGAAAUGCGUAGAGAUCUGGAGGAAUACCGAUGGCGAAGGCAGCCAUCUGGCCUAACACUGACGCUGAGGUACGAAAGCAUGGGGAGCAAACAGGAUUAGAGACCCGCGUAGUCCCUGUCUCUUAUAC